UACGUAGGGGGCAAGCGUUGUCCGGAAUUAUUGGGCGUAAAGAGCGUGUAGGCGGUCCGGUAAGUCAGCUGUGAAAGUCAAGGGCUCAACCCUUGAAUGCCGGUUGAUACUGUCGGGCUAGAGUCCGGAAGAGGCGAGUGGAAUUCCCGGUGUAGCGGUGAAAUGCGCAGAUAUCGGGAGGAACACCAAUGGCGAAGGCAGCUCGCUGGAACGGUACUGACGCUGAGACGCGAAAGCGUGGGGAGCAAACAGG
rnacentral:rRNA from 1 species